CAUUAUCCAUCCAACCAAACUGAGCUAUGAAGAUAUGAUAUUCGAGAUAUCAAGACACGACAGCUUGGAUAUAUGACAGAAAAAAACAGUUCAGAGGUGCUCCAAAAUUAUAGGCUAGUCAUGGAACCAGAAAGCUAAAGCUUCGGAUCAACCCUUCACUUCUUCGCCUUCUUUGGUGCCCUGUCAUCCCAAAAGUGCAGGAAGACACAUCAACAAAACAUGAUAAUUACAAACUCAAGGAAACUAUUAAUGUGCAAGGAGUUCAAAGGCCACUUGUACAAGAAAUACAGGAAAACACAUCAAGAAAGCAUGACAAUUACAUACUCCAAGGGAACUAGGAAUGCGAUAGGAGUACUAAGGCCACUUACACUGCAGACGGAGCUGGAGCAGCAGCUGAUGGUGCUGCAGGUUCCCUCGGGCCCUAAACAAAGAUGAAACAUACAUUUCAACAUGGAAUCUAAACAAAAGAAAAGACCAAAAAAAAAGAUCAAAAUGUCUUGGCCUUAAAGGGAAAAAACAUGAACCUACCAAACCAGCUCCGAACAAAUAACGACUCCAACAAUUACUGUAACAGCUAAUAAAGCUAAUGCGUGGCUCUACAAGUAGCAAGAUUAACAUUUUUGUAACAUGUUCAAGUGGAUCAAGAACACACAUUUUAAGACAAACUAAUAAAACUAAUGCAUGGCUCUACAAUAUGUUUUAAGAACAUACUUUCAUGUUUCAGUGGAUCAAAAAAUAACUAUUUAAUGGCAGUUCAAAUUUGCUAGUCCACAAGGCCCGGUUCAGAAUCCUAGUAUCACAUGGGCAUUAAAAGGCAUUCCAGCGUCAUAUAAUCAGCAGGUUGCCACACAAAUUCAGAAAUAAAUGCAGGUCUGAGUUAACAAGACAUUAUCUUACCUGGGCCAACCUCUCCUCCCUCCUAGCAAGCUUUCUCUCUCUGCUCGCCUUGCUCUUGGCACGUCUGGCCUCGAACUGAUCAGAGAGGGUCUUCUCCCUCGCCUUCUCAGCUUUUGACUUGUGGAUGCUCUCCAUCAGCACCCUCUUGUUCUUGAAGCUAUUUCCCUUGACCUUAACAUACAUCUCAUGAUACAUAUGUUUAUCAAUCUUCUUUGCCUCCCUGUACUUGCGGAGCAGGCGCCUCAGAACCCGCAUCCGACGCAUCCACAAUAUCUUGGUGGGGAGCCUAGCCUCCCUGGUACCCCUGCGCUUACCUGUAUAGUUUUUGGAUUAACAUAUAAUUUUAGGAUUUCAAAAAUGAAGAAGCAUCAGAUACAUAUGUACCAGACACAUAAAAUGGGAAAACCAGUGUAGCAGCAGUAUACCAUAUCCAGAGUGGCGUCCCUUCUGCUUGGCCUCAUGCGCCCUCCUUGCACGGGACCUGGAGUGGAUCUUCUGAGGCUUCCUGAUGAUGAAACCAUCCUUAACCAACU
rnacentral:lncRNA from 1 species